rnacentral:rRNA from 1 species
AACGAACGCUGGCGGCGUGCCUAACACGUGCAAGUCGUGCGAGAAAGUUCCUUCGGGAGCGAGUAAAGCGGCGCACGGGUGAGUAACACGUAGGUAACCUGCCCCCCAGUCUGGAACAACUAGAGGAAACUCUAGCUAAUGCCGGAUGAGACCACGAUCCCUUCGGGGGUUGCGGCCAAAGAUGGCCUCUACUUGUAAGCUAUCGCUGAGGGAUGGGCCUGCGGGCCAUUAGCUUGUUGGUGAGGUAACGGCUCACCAAGGCUGUGAUGGCUAGCUGGUCUGAGAGGAUGACCAGCCACACUGGGACUGAGACACGGCCCAGACUCCUACGGGAGGCAGCAGUGGGGAAUAUUGCGCAAUGGGCGAAAGCCUGACGCAGCGACGCCGCGUGGGUGAUGAAGGCC